UACGGAGGGUGCGAGCGUUAAUCGGAAUUACUGGGCGUAAAGCGCACGCAGGCGGUUUGUUAAGCAAGAUGUGAAAGCCCCGGGCUCAACCUGGGAACUGCAUUUUGAACUGGCAGACUAGAGUCUUGGAGAGGGGGGUGGAAUUCCAGGUGUAGCGGUGAAAUGCGUAGAGAUCUGAGAGACAUCAGCGACGAGCGGCCCCUGGCCAAAGACUGACGCUCAUGUGCGAAAGUGUGGGUAGCGAACAGGAUUAGAUACCCGGUAGUC
rnacentral:rRNA from 1 species